GUAGUAGUGCGCAUGGUGCACUGGUCUCGAUUAAUGCACACAGUGACCGUGUCUCGCCUAAAGUUGGAUACACGCUGCCCUUUUCUUCACUGUUGUUUGUACAAGACACUGGGCCUGAGACCGC
rnacentral:lncRNA from 1 species